rnacentral:rRNA from 1 species
GGGGGGUACGUUCGGGCUUGUACACACCGCCCGUCACACCACGAGAGUUUGUAACACCCGAAGUCGGUGAGGUAACCUUUAUGGAGCCAGCCGCCGAAGGUGGGACAGAUGAUUGGGGUGAAGUCGUAACAAGGUAGCCGUAUCGGAAGGUGCGGCUGGAUCACCUCCUUUCUAAGGAU